UACGUAGGGUGCAAGCGUUUAAUCGGAAUUACUGGGCGUAAAGCGUGCGCAGGCGGUUUUGUAAGUCUGUCGUGAAAUCCCCGGGCUCAACCUGGGAAUUGCGAUGGAGACUGCAAGGCUAGAAUCUGGCAGAGGGGGGUAGAAUUCCACGUGUAGCAGUGAAAUGCGUAGAGAUGUGGAGGAACACCGAUGGCGAAGGCAGCCCCCUGGGUCAAGAUUGACGCUCAUGCACCGAAAGGCGUGGGGAAGCAAACAGG
rnacentral:rRNA from 1 species